GUCCCCGUGGCCUAGCUGGUAAGGCUUUUGGGUCCGGCUACGUCACGUGGUUAACCAAAGGAUCGCGGGUUCGAGUCCUGCCGGGGACU
rnacentral:tRNA from 1 species